UACGUAGGGUCCGAGCGUUGUCCGGAAUUACUGGGCGUAAAGAGCUCGUAGGCGGUCUGUCGCGUCGGAUGUGAAAACCCAGGGCUCAACCCUGGGCCUCGCAUUCGAUACGGGCAGACUAGAGUUCGGUAGGGAGACUGGAAUUCCUGGUGUAGCGGUGAAAUGCGCAGAUAUCAGGAGGAACACCGGUGGCGAAGGCGGGUCUCUGGGCCGAAACUGACGCUGAGGAGCGAAAGCGUGGGGAGCAAACAGG
rnacentral:rRNA from 1 species